rnacentral:rRNA from 1 species
GAUGAACGCUGGCGGCAGGCCUAACACAUGCAAGUCGAACGGAUCCUUCGGGAUUAGUGGCGGACGGGUGAGUAACGCGGGGGAACAUACCCAAAGGUACGGAAUAGCCUCGGGAAACUGGGAGUAAUACCGUAGGUGCUCGAAAGAGGAAAGAUUUAUCGCCUUUGGAUUGGCCCGCGUUGGAUUAGGUAGUUGGUGGGGUAAUGGCCUACCAAGCCGACGAUCCAUAGCUGGUUUGAGAGGAUGAUCAGCCACACUGGGACUGAGACACGGCCCAGACUCCUACGGGAGGCAGCAGUGGGGAAUCUUAGACAAUGGGGGAAACCCUGAUCUAGCCAUGCCGCGUGAUCGAUGAAGGCCUUAGGGUUGUAAAGAUCAUUCAGGUGGGAAGAUAAUGACUGUACCACCAGAAGAAGCCCCGGCUAACUCCGUGCCAGCCGCCGCAGUAA